rnacentral:rRNA from 1 species
GAUGAACGCUGGCGGCGUGCCUAAUACAUGCAAGUCGAGCGAACAGACGAGGAGCUUGCUCCUCUGACGUUAGCGGCGGACGGGUGAGUAACACGUGGAUAACCUACCUAUAAGACUGGGAUAACUUCGGGAAACCGGAGCUAAUACCGGAUAAUAUAUUGAACCGUAUGGUUCAAUAGUGAAAGACGGUUUUGCUGUCACUUAUAGAUGGAUCCGCGCCGCAUUAGCUAGUUGGUAAGGUAACGGCUUACCAAGGCAACGAUGCGUAGCCGACCUGAGAGGGUGAUCGGCCACACUGGAACUGAGACACGGUCCAGACUCCUACGGGAGGCAGCAGUAGGGAAUCUUCCGCAAAGGGCGAAAGCUUGACGGAGCAACGCCGCGUGAGUGAUGAAGGUCUUCGGAUCGUAAAACUCUGUUAUUAGGGAAGAACAAAUGUGUAAGUAACUAUGCACGUCUUGACGGUACCUAAUCAGAAAGCCACGGCUAACUACGUG